AGGAUUUGUAUUCUGUAAACCUAGUACGUGAGAACCAAGAGCAGGCAGCAAGUCUCCGGGUUGCCUGGGUGGCCUCACUGAGCUGGGCUGGCACUGUGAGGUGGGACUGAAACUGCCCCGGCGGUGUUAAAGAGAGAAGCUGAGAGAAGUAGACUUGUCCGUGGCUGAAAAUAGAACCGGGUGAAGACGGAAAAGAGGAGAUGUGCCGUUUUAUAUCUGUCGUAAUAUGAACAGGCAUCGUGUCAGUUACAAGAGAAAAUGGCACUGUAAACAAAAACCAGGUGGCAUUUGAAAGGUGAAAAUUCUGCUUCCUUUCUGGCAAACACUGCGCCUUCAAACACGGUUGGCAUCACCCUUCUGAAGUGCUCUACUCUGCUCAUCUUGGUACCAGUGACAUCCAGCAAAAAAUAAUCCUUGAAAGGAAAGGACUAGCAAGCAAUUGAGGAGUAACAUUUCAAAUGAAAUAGAAGGGGAAAUAGCCUACUCAUCUAGAACUUCAUCAUGCUUUUAGGCCAGGCCAAGUUCCUAAUAAUAUCCAUAUGCAUAUAACCACAAUAUUCAGUUGGCCUAUACAUACCAUCUAUAGCCUACUGGAGCUGGGUUCUAUUUGGUCCCACUCAUUGGAUGUGGCAACUUGCCUCUUUCAAUGUGGAAAGAGUAAACACUCACCCCCAGAGUGUAUGUCCCCACAGACAUGAGUUAUUGUGCCAGGAAAUGUUCGUGAGCCCCCAAAAGACCACCAAGAAGCUGAAUCUGAUGCAAUCACAUUAGGGUCUCUUUAUUCAAGCUCGAGCUUGGCCCCACCCCCUGUCAACCUUGACACAGCAGGAAGGUAGAGCCCCCAGCCCAGUUUCAGUCAAGCAUUUAUAAAGACAAGAAGGAGGUAUCUAGCCUGUGCACAUCUGAUUGGGGGACCAUUAUGGCCUUUAACAUAAUUGGCUGGUGCUGGGAGCCAAACCAUAAACUUAACUUCUGUUUUCCUCCUGAUUGGUGGUUGUUAGGAAGUGACGUGUCAGGGGAGGUCUUGUAACUUGGGAGUGCAGAUUUGUUGGGGAAUAACCUGGAAACUGGUGCUAGACACAGGUCUUGUUAGGUGGUAGCCUAGAAACUGGUGGUAGGUACUAGCCUGUUAACUUGAGUUCAACCUUAGGUCAGGAUCUCUAAGAUGGAGUCUGAACCCAAAAGAUCUGGUCUCUCAGUAUCACAUCCCUCUCAGCAUCUGAUAGAAUGCCAGUCCUUAGCUCAACACCUCACAGGUAACAACUGCGUGUUAAACGAAUGAAUGCAUCUUCACGAGUCACUAUUCAGGCUUCACAAAGUCCUACAAAACAGGAUGAUCCAAUCAGCCAUGACCUGAAAGAGUUAAGGUGACCUGAACAGUCACAGAACAAUAGCAUUCAAUGAGAAUGAAAACAGUACCUACCUGUGAUG